UGCAUCGGCCGGGAAUCGAACCCGGGCUGCCCGUGUGGCAGGCGAGCAUUCUACCACUGAACCACCAAUGG